rnacentral:rRNA from 1 species
AUGGCGUCCAUGAUGGGAGGAGACUUCGUGGAGGCCUACGUGCUCAGGAAUGCCUACAAGGAGAAGCUCAGGCGCAUGGACCAAGCCGAAGCGGCGCUCGACGGCGCAAAGAGCGGCAAGGACAAGGAGGCCGCCGGCGCCGCUGGAGAGAAGAAGACUGCUGGUGGUGGUGGAGCGAGCAGCAGGGGAGGAUUCUUUGGCCUCAUGAAGAAGAAGGUGCGCCCCAAACCCAAGGCGGCGGCGACUUCCCCUUGA